GGGGGCGCACCGGUUUCGACGGGGUCGUGGUAGGAAAGAGCUGCGUGUCGAGGAUGUGCGUCACCUCGCUAAACAUCGUGCAAAAAAAAGUAGUUGCCAACAACAACGACUUCUUCGCUGCGCGGAUGGCUGCAUAGCCAUUCCAGGCCUGCGGGCCUCAGUCGUCCGGAUGGAAUGUUGCCAGGGGCUCCAUCUGGGCGUGUCUUGACCUGGCUGGUCCUGAGGGGGAAGGCGACGCGCCUCCCGGGGGACGAGAAAACAACCCAGUAGUCGUCGUCGAACCCGAUCGUCACCCUGCUCCGGGGGUGGCCGGGGGAGCUAAGCCGGAGCUACACACGUAGAUGCUUAGACCGAGCGGCUUCGGACGUGGGUUCGACUCCCACCGCCUCCACUC
rnacentral:tmRNA from 1 species